rnacentral:lncRNA from 1 species
ACGCAAUUGCCAAAGAAUUGGGAAAGUGAAAUAACGCAGAAAGUAAAAGGAAAAGCCUUUAAGUCUCCUUUCUUGCUUCGUGCCUGUCCGGAGAAGAAAAGGAAUCAAGCAAAAGUCUUAUGCAAUUCGUACAAAAGCAACAGCAAAGCAUCAAUUGUUCUCCGGGAAGAAAUAAAGCUAAUCUACUAGGCUCGUGUGAAUCUAGCUUUGUUUUAUUGGCCGCCGAAAAGAAAGGAAAACGUCUGACCGAAAAGGAAGAAACUAAAAGCUAAUCUAUUGAUUCCUUAGACGUGAAUCUGGUUUUUCUGUUAGCCUUUUGAAGCCGCCGCAAAAGAAAAAGAAACGUUUGCCUCUACUUCUUCUUUGGAAAAGAGUUUUAAUCCCAUGCAACUCCGCUGCCUACGAGCCCUUUUUGGUUUCCUGAUAUUUCACUUGUUUUACCAAUCCUGCGGGUCCGUCUUUUAAGUGCAUUCCUUAGUUUCUGGCGUGGGCACCCCAUGAAAUAGAGAGUCUUAUGAAAAUUUGCCUCGUGAAAGCACUUUUUAUAUUAUCCACCUACAAUUCAUACAAAUAUGAAAUAUGAGUAAAAUCUCAAUACUUAGCACAACAAGUAACCAAAAUUAGGACAAAAUAACAGUGCAAAAUGUGCCCAAUAAUUGCUCUAUCAAAUCCCCUCACAUCUAGAUAAUGCUUGCCCUCAAACAUUUCGAAACUCAGAAGCACAAUCAAGAUAGCAACAGUUUCAUAGUCAUCUAUACCAACCCAAAUAUCCUGCAUUCCCGACAAUAUCACCAAUAUUAGAAUAUACGGGACAGGUGGUAAUCCAAAAGAAUAUGAAUAGUUAUACUCGUCACCUUCAAGAAAAUGUAUGAAUGAUGGGAACACUCAAAUCGAUGUCGCGCCCCAUUUUUUGGAAAAUCGGAAAAAGGUCAUUUUGAAAUCAUAAUGUGUAGUGUGUGUUGAAUAUGCGAAGUGUGUGAACGUGAGAAAUAAAGGAAAAGGCCAUGGGACUUUUAAAUGCGACAUUUUGGCCAAAAUAAUAAUCUAAAAAGGUUUUUAAAUGGAAAAACAGGAGUCGCCACUUGGUAUUGAGUUGGGGUGUACCAAGUCACUCGAAAAGUAGUUUUGAAAAAGUGAAGUAAAAACCUUUUUAGAUGACUCCUAACCUACGAAAAUCAGAGAGACGAGUUCGAGAGUCACGGUUGAUAAAAGGGAAGGCAAAGACAAAGUCUAAGGCAUCAUUUUACCCUAACUUAAGCUAGUUGCGUGAUUUAGUCAUAAUUUUCCUUAAUUUCUAACCAAAAAAUAUAUUGCAUUUGGAUGCGUCUAAUAUGAAUGCAAACCUAAAUCUAAUGAGUGGUUCGAAUGGGACAAAAUGUCUCUUUUGAAGCUUGAUUGAUCCUAAUCACACGAGUUGUGAUAGCCCAUAGUGAAUCCUCAAAGAGGUCACGAAUAAAUGCAAAUGAAUGCUCAAGUAAUAAUGAGAAAAACGAAAGUGUGCAAAAAUGUCUUUGAGUGUAAAAAAACGAGUGUUAGGUGCAAGUGUGCAAGUAGGUAUGUAAAGUGUAGGUGUGUAAAAGUGCAUGUGUUCAAAAUGAGGGAGAGUGUAAGGUGCAGGUGUGCAAAUGAGUAAGUAAAAUGUAAAUGUGAGAGUGUGCAAAAGGAUAGAGUGGAUAAAGUGGUAGUGUGAAGAGUUAAAAUGUAUAAAGUGAGAGUGUGUGAAGUGAUAGUGGAGUAAAGUGGUAAUGAGAAUGUGAGAGUGAGAGUGUGCGAAGUGAUAAUGGAGUAUGGUGAGAGUGCAAAGUGAUGGUGGGUAAAGUGAUAAAAUGCCUUAGAAUGCAUGAGUCCUAGAGAAAUGCAAGCAAAACGGGUACGGGGAGACCCUAGAUCAUGACUUUUGAUUUGCCUUUUGAUUAGAAAGAAAACAAGCGUGCUAAAACUAUGUGUAGCCAUACUCGUCUAUUUCCCUUACCAACAGGGUGACUCCCUAACCUAUGCAAGCAAAUGAGCUAGUCUAAAAUGAGAAUGCAAACCUAAAUAUGUAAGGGACAGGUUAGGUGAGCAUGCAAAAAUGAGAAAUACUAAAAGGAAAAAUGAAUGAAAUGUAGUGAAUGCAUGCGAGUGUGUACUAGCGAGGGACGGCCUUAUUGGGUCUAGCAUUGGACUAGCCCUUUACUAACGUUUUCUCACAAGCGUUGGACUUGUAAGAGCUCGAGGGGAAGACCAUGACUAGCAUUGGACUAGUCACGGUAACGUACAUUCCAUCCAUAUAAUCAGAUAUAAUUCUAAAGCAAGUAAACAUGCAAAGCACAUAGUUUCACAUAGCACGUAGCACAUGAGCAUACUUAUCUAGAUGUAGAAACCUAGGGAAAGCAAUUAAACGCAUAGGCAUCUAGGCACACACAAGCACAUAGCACAUAAGGCCUAUCUAUUACAAAAGGGGAGGCCCUACUACAACCUAAAGGAGAAAAGAAUAAAUAAAUAAAAUAAUAACCUAACUAUUACAACUUUGGCAUUAAAUUGCCUUUCAAAUGAUCAAAAUUGAACUAAAAUAAAUAUACCAAACUAAAGCCAAUAAAGCAAACAAAUAAAUAAAUGAAAUAAAUAAAAAACAUUCAAGAGUCAUACAAUCAAACACGUAAAGUCACAUAGAGCACAUAGAGUCAAAUAAAGUAAGAAAUAAGGGAUAGGGUGUACCUCCCUUGAAUUGGGGUUCUAAUGGAGUGAAAUUAUUUAUUUAUCCUCCAAAAACAAAGAAAUGGUCAAGAUAUCGCUUUAAUUGAGAAAACUAAAGAAAAUAUACAAACACAAACUCAAUUGGUCAUAAAGCCCUUAAGAUUGUGAAUUAAAUGCAGUUUCAGCAAAGUAUGGUGGCUAAUUGAAGCAAACAAGCAAUGAAGUUGCGAAAUUAAAGCUGCCAAGGACCAAAUCGCAAAUAUCAGAAAGUUGUUAGGGCCUAAUCACGAUUUCCAAAACUUUGGGACAAAGAUUGAAGGAACGAUAAAGUUCAAGGUUCAAUUUGCAAUUGUGGCAGAGACCCAAUUGAAUGAAUUAUAACAGUUUUGGGGGUAAAAUUAUAAAGUUCGGGAACCCCGGGGCCAAAUCACAAAAUGAAGAGAAAAUGGAGGGACUAAAAUUGCAAUUUUAGACCAAAAGGUCUCCUUCCCCAACAAAUCAGACGUCAAUCUACCAUUUUUGUCUUUCUUUGUAGAUGAAGAACAUCCGAAAUGUCAAAUGAAACUCGCGCAACCCAAAUUUAUACAAAGGAAAGGAUAAAAAACAAAAAGAAAGAAUGUCCGAUCAUGCAAAUUUCUAAAAAAAAAAACUUCUUUUUUUCUCCGCCAAAUCAAUGAUAUUCGGCCAGCUUUGGAUUGACCAGAGCCGCACCUCACACAUAGAUCCACACAAGAUUCAUCAAUUUUUGCUGCUUUGAUUCAAAGUUUUUCUAUCAGGCAUUUCUUCAAACACCAAAUGGGCAUAAAAAAACAUCAUCGAUUCUUAGGUUAAUUGAAUCUAUAACCAGCCCAAAAAAUUUGUCAAAACACAGGAGAUUCCAGUCCAACCAAUAUACAAAGCAUACAAUCUAAAAUCGUGAGCCAUCAACAUGAAAUUUACACUGAACAAGUGCACGGCAGACAUGCUUUGAGAUUUUCCAAUGUUUGUGCUAAAAUGGAAAAUUGAAAUUCAAAGAGGGAGGACGGCUUACAGCAUUUGCUUGGUGAAACUUCGCUGGUGAUGAUGGUGGGUUCGGUGAGGUGGUGGCGGCAUGAGCGGCGGUGGUUCUUGGAACGAGGGUCUCGGGGAUGGCAGCAGGGGAGGAAGGCGGUGACGGUGUUUCUGCUGCCAUUGCUUUCUUUCUUGUUUCCGUUCCACCUUUGGCCGAAGGCCCUUUUCUUCCUUUGUUCCUUAGUCCGCCACCUCUUUGGACUUUUUUUCCUCUGGCCCCUCUUUGCUUGUUCCCUUCUCUUCACGAAGCUGCCCCCUGGAUCUUUCUCUUUUUUUUCUCUGUUUUUGGCUUCCCCCUUUUGUUCGGCCAAGCUCCUAUUCUCUUUUUACCUUCAGAUCCUUCAAACCUAGCCGCGGGUCCCUUUUUUUGUUUUCUUGCCCGAUAGUUUUCUUCUUACUCCAUCAACCGAAGACCUCUCGAAGCUACCCUUCUCUAUUCAGCCGUAGCCACCACUUUUCUCCUUAACCGCCGCUCUUUUCUUUUUCCUUUCGGCUCUUUCUACCCUGUCCCAAAAACCUAGCUGACCCAAAACCUUCUAUUACUCUCUUAGCCUUCUCGGUUUUUCUCCCUCUAAAAACCCCUUUUCCAGCUGUCACUCUUUCUCUUUAUAUAUCCCCCAAACCCUGAUUUUCACGGCUCUUGAUAAAUCUUGGUUCACCACUUUUCUAUGGCCAUCCAAUCGCUCUUCAUUCCAGAUGAGAGCCAGGUAGGAUGAAGUCAAGGUAAUCCAAGGGUAAAGGAAAAACA